rnacentral:tRNA from 1 species
GGUCUGUUAGCUCAGUUGGUUAGAGCGUCGUACUAAUAUUAUAAUACAAUUGUAAUGUUGGUCAUGCGAAGGUCAUGAGUUCGACCCUCAUACGGACCA